UACAGGGGGUGCAAGCGUUGUUCGGAAUUAUUGGGCGUAAAGCGCGUGUAGGCGGACCAUUAAGUCUGGUGUGAAAUCCCUCGGCUCAACUGAGGACGUGCAUUGGAUACUGGUGGUCUUGAGUCCUGGAGAGGGUAGCGGAAUUCCCAGUGUAGAGGUGAAAUUCGUAGAUAUUGGGAGGAACACCGGUGGCGAAGGCGGCUACCUGGACAGUGACUGACGCUGAGACGCGAAAGCAUGGGUAGCAAACAGG
rnacentral:rRNA from 1 species